AUUUGGUCUAAGAGUCCUAAAUAGGACGAAAUGCGCGUCCAAGAU
rfam:Schistosoma rodhaini strain Burundi genome assembly, scaffold: SROB_scaffold0002228